rnacentral:lncRNA from 1 species
UGGAUCUCUCUCUGACUCUAUCUUUUUUGCUUCAUUGUCCAAGAUAAUCAAAGGUUACCUCAUGCUUUCUCAGUUAUAUUUUAGUUUUUCUUUUCUUUUGAACAUUGUAGUAGUAUUGUUUCUAUUUGGUUAGAGUUGUGCAUCUCAGUUUUCUUAGGAUGUACACUGCUGUUUUUUAUUUUAUUUUUUUUAACCGUACUCUUCUUUUUGAG